rnacentral:rRNA from 1 species
CAGCCGCCGCGGUAAUACAGAGGGUGCGAGCGUUAAUCGGAUUUACUGGGCGUAAAGCGUGCGUAGGCGGCUAAUUGAGUCGGAUGUGAAAUCCCCUAGCUUAACUUGGGAAUUGCAUUCGAUACUGGUUAGCUAGAGUGUGGGAGAGGAUGGUAGAAUUCCAGGUGUAGCGGUGAAAUGCGUAGAGAUCUGGAGGAAUACCGAUGGCGAAGGCAGCCAUCUGGCCUAACACUGACGCUGAGGUACGAAAGCAUGGGGAGCAAACAGGAUUAGAUACCCGGGUAGUCCCUGUCUCUUAUAC